rnacentral:rRNA from 1 species
GACGAACGCUGGAGGCGUGCUUAACACAUGCAAGUCGAACGAUGAAAUGGAGCUUGCUCCAUGGAUUAGUGGCGAACGGGUGAGUAACACCUGAAUAACCUGCCCUUAAUUUUGGAAUAACCCAGGGAAACCUGGGCUAAUACCGGAUAAGUAAACCUGUGGCAUCACAUGGUUUUGGAAAGUUUUUCGAUUAAGAAUGGAUUCGCGGCCUAUCAGCUUGUUGGUGAGGUAAUGGCUCACCAAGGCGACGACGGGUAGCCGGCCUGAGAGGGUGAACGGCCACACUGGGACUGAGACACGGCCCAGACUCCUACGGGAGGCAGCAGUGGGGAAUAUUGCGCAAUGGACGAAAGUCUGACGCAGCGACGCCUCGUGAGGGACGAAGGUCUUCGGAUUGUAAACCUCUUUCAGCAGGGACGAAGCGAAAGUGACGGUACCUGCAGAAGAAGCACCGGCUAACUAUGUGCCAGCCGCCGCUGUAA